UUAAACCCAUGAUUCGGAUCAUGAUAUCAGGAUAAUCCUAUGAAAAGAAAAAAAAUUAUGAAAUUUAAUUUCCAAUCAAUCCAGUGUUAAAGGAUGAAAUCGAAAAAAAAAUCAACUAGAAAAAAAUGGCUCAAAAAAAUUGACUUAAGUCAACCCAAAUUGACAUGUUAAAACUAUGAUAUGGGUUAUAAAAUUAAGAUAAAUUGAAAAAAAAC
rnacentral:lncRNA from 1 species